rnacentral:lncRNA from 1 species
CAAAUGGAAUCACUAUUUUCUUCUGAGGAUAACACUUCCUGCCUCUUUUUGGCAUAACAGUAUACAAUCAUCAUGAGUUAUCUUUUCCCAAAACAGCUUCCCCUACUAAAAGAUAGAAGUUCUAUUGGGUAUGAAAUUGCUAUAAAAUUUUUCAUCUGUACUUUAAAGCAUGUAAAAGUUGAACCCAAACAUCUACAUGGUUAUAAAAUUUCACUGAAUUCUUUCUUUUAAUUACCUGGAACAUUCUCCUAUCUCUUAAAAAUAUAAUGUUCUUGAUUCUACAAUUAUUUUAAGACACCUUAAGAAUAGAAAACUGGAGUAAAAAAUAUUUACUGGCAUUAAACAUAAAUCUCUAAAACCUCAAAAAUAAGACCUACUCAUCUCUGAAAUAAAUAAUUUCUAUACAUCUCUGAACCACGUGACAGACACAUACUAGGUAUUUUCACAUACACAUAUAUAUACUCAACAACCACUUCCAGAAUACCCUAAGAUAUUUUUUUCUCCUUGGAUUUUUUUUCUUUUGAGAUAGUCUCGCUCUGUCGCCCAUGCUCCCUUACAGGUGAAAUACACAUUAUUGAUACGCAGCUGAAACAUGGGAUACAAUCCAUCUAUGAAUAACUGGUACAGUCCAGACUCCAUUUUUGCAGUCUACACCAAUGCUUGAACUUUUGGUGCUUUGGUUUUCUCAUCUACAAAAUACAAUACUACUACUGUCUCUGCAGUGUUUUGUGGGGAUUAAGUGAGAAUACAUGUCAAGUACUUAGUACAGUCCCUGGAAAAUAGAAAGCAUUCAACAAAUGUUGGCUGUUAAACCUAUUUCAUUUAGCUAUUUUUUUUUUUUUGAGACAGAGUCUCAUUCUGUUGCCCAGGCUGAAGGGCUCACUGCACCCUUAACCUCCCUGGCAUGAGCAAUCCUCCCACCUGAGCCUCCAGAGUAGCUGGGACUACGGUCGAGCACCACACCUGGCUAAUGUUUGCAUUUUUAGUAGAGAUGAGAGAUGAGGUUUCACCAUGUUGCCCAGGCUGGUCUCCAACUACUGAGCUCAAGUGAUCCACCUGUCUCGGCCUCCCAAGGUGCUGGGAUUACAGGCAUGAGCCACUGCUCCCGGCCACAUUUAGCUACUCUUUAACCUCUUUUUUCUUAGGGUCAGAGACUGAGAUGUCCUCAGUCCCAAUUCUUUGAUCCCGUGACAUCCUGAAUCCUUGGUCCUGUUAUUAGUAUGCAUUGAAAUCCUAGCUCCUAUUGAGUCUUAUUGGAUUUGGGAGCUUAGUUUUUGGAGGUCUCUUGACUUUUGUAUAUUUUACUAUCUGUUAAAUUCUAGCCAUUUGUUUUGUGUUUUCCUGAUCUUACGGCUUUUUUUAUGGUUUAUAUCUCUUGGGAUUUUCAUAAGAAUUCUAUGAGAUAGGUAAUCAUGAACUCAUAUCUUUCUUCUCUAGCUGCCUUAUUUUCAUCAAGGCCAAGCAUAAGAGGCUAACAAUUCUGGGCUUGCAGAGCACUGAAACGACUGUAGAGCACUGUAAAUGACUGAAAACGUAUGGCAGAGCACUGAAAGCCAUUAGGCUUGUUAUUGCUGCAAUAAUAGUAUCAACGAUGACCAGCAGCUAAAAUUGACUGAGUGCUUACUAUGUGCUUUUUAAAGGAUUUUACACGUUAGCACAUUUAAUCUUAUGUAUCCAUUUUAUAAGAUGAAGUGAAAUCAGAGAAAGUUUAAGUAACUUGUCAGAGAUCACACAGCUAGUAAGUGGUGAAACUGGGAUCUGACUCCAGGCAGUUAAUUCAAGAGUCCACACUCUUAACCACUUCUCUGUAUUCUAGGUUUCUGAGUUUAGCAGUGAUAGGAUGAAACUGAUAUUCUAAGACUCUUAGUCUAGUAGGCAAGAAGAAUCAAAGAGUAAAGAGCCAAAGACUUUAGAAACAAGCUAAGGCUUGGCAAGUUAGGCAUGAGAAAAGAAAGGGGGAGAAUGCACCUUAAUGAAGAGAAGAAUGCUAGAGUUAGUGAAAAUGAAGGAAAAAUUAAAAGACCUGGAAUAGUUUGUGUAUAGGGAAAGAAGAAUUAAAGAUGAUUUUAGGAUUCUGAGUUUAUGUGAUUUAGAACAGGGACUUUCAAACAUUCUGAAGUCAUGGAAACAUCAUAAAAGAAAGGAGAUGGGGUAAGGUGGAAUUUUAAUGAUAUGUAGGAGAAAAAACAAAUUAAGUUAAAGCAUAUGGAAGAAAGAGAUAAAAAAUAACAGCAAGAAAUUAAGCAUUAAGAUGUAAGUUUUGGGAUAGAAGUUGUAAUAAAUGUUCUCAUUUGUCAUGCAGGUCAUAGUUUUUAAAAAGCAGUUUAUUGUAGUUAUAUAUGGUGAUAUUAACAUUUUGGUAGAAACUGUGUGUUUUAAGUAGACUCACUGCUCUCAGGGAGAAAUGUAGGCAUAAAACAAAAUUUAGGAACUGGACUCAGAAAUAAACCUAUCAAUUUAAUAAGUUAGAACAUUUCACUCAUGCACAUAUGCAGAGUAUAAUUCUACUGAUGAAAGACUCAAUGGGCCUGGAACAAAUUUCCAUGAAAUCCCAGGGUUCAGAGCACACACUUAGAUACAGUCUGGGGAUUAUCUCCUCUGUGAAAGCUGCGAGAAGAUUUGGUUAAUCCUUCUUUAUGUCAUCAUUCUACUUAAUAGAUUUUUUGAUUCUAAAACUUAUUUGUGUUGCUGUAUUUACAUGUUUUUUCUCCCUUAUACAUCAGUAUACUAAGGACUUUAUUCAUUCUUUUAUUCCCUAUUACAAUAAAGGGUACAGUGUAGUGACAAUUAACCCUUGAAGCAAUUCACAAAUAUAUGGUGAAAGAAAAGUUGGCAGAGUAUAAAGAAAAAGGGAACAUAUACGCAAAGUUGCUCAAGAGGACUCAGAUAAUGCGGCUUUAAAAAUCAAACUAGCAGUUUCAAGAAGGAGGUGAUCAGCAGUGUAAAACACUGGCUGGAGAAUAAGAAUGAAGGAAAAGGCCACGGGAUGUGUUGAAAAUAUCCCUGGUACCUUGUGAGACAGUAGUGGAGACUGACUGAGAUUAUGGUGUUAG